CAUGCCGUAAACGAUGUCUACUAGCCGUUGGGGGAUUUGAUCCUUUAGUGGCGCAGCUAACGCGAUAAGUAGACCGCCUGGGGAGUACGGUCGCAAGACUAAAACUCAAAUGAAUUGACGGGGGCCCGCACAAGCGGUGGAGCAUGUGGUUUAAUUCGAUGCAACGCGAAGAACCUUACCUGGCCUUGACAUAGUAGAGACUUUCCAGAGAUGGAAAGGUGCCUUCGGGAAUCUACAUACAGGUGC
rnacentral:rRNA from 1 species